rnacentral:rRNA from 1 species
GACGAACGCUGGCGGCGUGCUUAACACAUGCAAGUCGAACGGAAAGGCCCUGCUUUUGUGGGGUGCUCGAGUGGCGAACGGGUGAGUAACACGUGAGUAACCUGCCCUUGACUUUGGGAUAACUUCAGGAAACUGGGGCUAAUACCGGAUAGGAGCUCCUGCUGCAUGGUGGGGGUUGGAAAGUUUCGGCGGUUGGGGAUGGACUCGCGGCUUAUCAGCUUGUUGGGGGGGUAGUGGCUUACCAAGGGUUUGACGGGUAGCCGGCCUGGGAGGGUGACCGGCCACAUUGGGACUGAGAGACGGACCAGACUCCUACGGGAGGCAGCAGUGGGGAAUAUUGCACAAUGGGCGGAAGCCUGAUGCAGCAACGCCGCGUGCGGGAUGACGGCCUUCGGGUUGUAAACCGCUUUCGCCUGUGACGAAGCGUGAGUGACGGUAAUGGGUAAAGAAGCACCGGCUAACUACGUG